rnacentral:rRNA from 1 species
CCUACGGGAGGCAGCAGUGAGGAAUAUUGGUCAAUGGGCGUGAGCCUGAACCAGCCAAGUCGCGUGAAGGAUGACGGUUCUAUGGAUCGUAAACCUCUUUUAUAAGGGAAUAAAGUGCGGGACGUGUCCCGUUUUGUAUGUACCUUAUGAAUAAGGAUCGGCUAACUCCGUGCCAGCAGCCGCGGUAAUACGGAGGAUCCGAGCGUUAUCCGGAUUUAUUGGGUUUAAAGGGUGCGUAGACGGGUUUUUAAGUCAGCGGUGAAAGUUUGUGGCUCAACCAUAGAAUUGCAGUUGAUACUGGGAGGCUUGAGUACGGUUGAGGUAGGCGGAAUGCGUGGUGUAGCGGUGAAAUGCUUAGAUAUCACGAAGAACCCCGAUUGCGAAGGCAGCCUGCCAAGCUAUGACUGACGCUGAUGCACGAAAGCGUGGGGAUCAAACAGGAUUAGAUACCCCAGUAGUC